rnacentral:tRNA from 1 species
UUGUCAAAAUAAAAAUCUUUUGUNNCUCCCUUUUAAGGAGAUGGUCGCAGGUUCGAAUCCUGCUGGGCGCACCA